rnacentral:rRNA from 1 species
AGAGUUUAAUCAUGGCUCAGGAUGAACGCUGGCGGCGUGCCUAACACAUGCAAGUCGAGCGAAGCACUUUACUUUGAGAUCUUCGGAAGGAUAAGUUUUGUGACUGAGCGGCGGACGGGUGAGUAACGCGUGGGUAACCUGCCUCAUACAGGGGGAUAACAGUUAGAAAUGACUGCUAAUACCGCAUAAGACCACAGCACCGCAUGGUGCAGGGGUAAAAACUCCGCGG